UUAACAUGAUGAUGAUUUUUCAGUUCUGCUACUGAAGAGAGUUGACAGAAAGCAAAAAUACCAAAAUCACUGAAAC
rfam:D. melanogaster elongation factor 1-alpha F1 gene